GUGGGAUUAGCUCAGCUGGCAGAGCACCUGGUUGUGGUCCAGGGGGUCGCGGGUUCAAUCCCCGUAUCUCACC
rnacentral:tRNA from 1 species